rnacentral:lncRNA from 1 species
GCCUCCUCCGGCGGUAGUGCCGCCGAGCCGGGCAGCGCGCACGGCCACAGACGCGCACGGGAGGAGGAGGAGGAGGAGAAGGAGGAGGGAAGAGGAGGAGGGACCGGAGCACUCGCAGCACCAUCACCGAUCCCCCCAUGCGAUACGGGCGGCAUCGCGCAGCCCCGCGCUCCCGCGGACAGGCACCUGCAGAUUCCCUCACCAGGCACAGAGAGUGGUCUCCAGCUUGCUGUGCUUCCUCACCCUGUGCUGACGUGCCAGCCCUGCCUGAGAGUGAACAGCCUUACUGAACUUUGCAGCUCCUGCAGCUCUGCCGUUUUGGUGAGGUGUCCCCCCAAAGCAGCCAUUCCGUGCUAUAAAUAUAUGGUGUACAUGUACCUUUUUUGCUCGUGCCCCGCUUCCUCCUAACCAUAGAAGAUGUGAAAAUUAACAGUUAUCAUUUCCAGUUAAUCCUCUGGCACCGCUGAAUCCUGACUCAUGCCCUUGAAAACAAGCU